AUCACUUCUCAGCCUUUUGGCUAAGAUCAAGUGUAGAAUCUGUUCUUAUUGGAUUUUUACACUGCAAGUUUUAGAAGGAGGUCAAGGGUAACCUUAUGUGCAGCAGUACAUUUACAGCAUUUAGCUGACACUUU
ensembl:snRNA U2 U2 spliceosomal RNA